rnacentral:rRNA from 1 species
UACGGAGGAGGCAAGCGUUAUCCGGAAUUAUUGGGCGUAAAGCGUCCGCAGGUGGCACUUCAAGUCUGUCGUCAAAGACUGGGGCUUAACCCUGGAAAGGCGGUGGAAACUGAAGCGCUAGAGUGCGGUAGGGGUAGAGGGAAUUCCCGGUGUAGCGGUGAAAUGCGUAGAGAUCGGGAAGAACAUCGGUGGCGAAAGCGCUCUACUGGACAGCAACUGACACUCAGGGACGAAAGCUAGGGGAGCGAAUGGG